GGUGAGUAACACGUAUCCAACCUGCCGUCUACUCUUGGACAGCCUUCUGAAAGGAAGAUUAAUACAAGAUGGCAUCAUGAGUCCGCAUGUUCACAUGAUUAAAGGUAUACCGGUAGACGAUGGGGAUGCGUUCCAUUAGAUAGUAGGCGGGGUAACGGCCCACCUAGUCUUCGAUGGAUAGGGGUUCUGAGAGGAAGGUCCCCCACAUUGGAACUGAGACACGGUCCAAACUCCUACGGGAGGCAGCAGUGAGGAAUAUUGGUCAAUGGGCGAGAGCCUGAACCAGCCAAGUAGCGUGAAGGAUGACUGCCCUAUGGGUUGUAAACUUCUUUUAUAAAGGAAUAAAGUCGGGUAUGCAUACCCGUUUGCAUGUACUUUAUGAAUAAGGAUCGGCUAACUCCGUGCCAGCAGCCGCGGUAAUACGGAGGAUUCGAGCGUUAUCCGGAUUUAUUGGGUUUAAAGGGAGCGUAGAUGGAUGUUUAAGUCAGUUGUGAAAGUUUGCGGCUCAACCGUAAAAUUGCAGUUGAUACUGGAUAUCUUGAGUGCAGUUGAGGCAGGCGGAAUUCGUGGUGUAGCGGUGAAAUGCUUAGAUAUCACGAAGAACUCCGAUU
rnacentral:rRNA from 1 species